rnacentral:miRNA from 1 species
GGCUGAGGCUGAGCCGAGGAGCCUCCAGACUUGUGGACAGGGUCAUGCAGUACCAGGUCUUAACCCUCAUCCCUCGGCAGCUCCAGCC